GACGAACGCUGGCGGCGUGCCUAAUACAUGCAAGUAGAACGCAGUUGCGAACGGGUAAGUAACGCGUAGGUAACUGCCUCAUAACGGGGGAUAACUAUUGGAAACGAUAGCUAAUACCGCAUACUGUGAGAUGGACCUGCUUUGUAUUAGCUAGUUGGUGAGGUAAAGGCUCACCAAGUCGACGAUAGAUAGCCGACAUGAGAGGGUGCUAGGCCAACAGUGGAAGGAGAAACGGCCCAGACUCCGACCGGUAGCAGCAGGAGGGAAUCUGUCGCAAUGGGCGGAAGGCUGAGCGGGGAACGCCUCGGGAGGUAAGAAGGUUUUCGGAUCGUAAAGCUCUGGUGUUAAAGAAGCGGUAAAUAACCAGAAAGGGACGGCUAACUACGUGCCAGCCGGAGCGGUAAUAC
rnacentral:rRNA from 1 species